rnacentral:lncRNA from 1 species
GGCCCAGGCCUGUGCUGACCCGGAUGUGCGGCAGAGCCAGGCGCCUGCCCUCGGGCAGCUGCUGCUUGGCGGGGGCGCGGGCGCUGCAUAAACACAGAAGAGCGUCACUGCUUGUGAUGACUGCGUGCCGGAGAGCAGCAGUGCCCACCGAAGAGUGUGGCGGGAAACCUAAUAUUGUUUAGCAGUUAUGUAACUUGCCCUAAAUCAACAGCCAAUGUUCGUUGGAACUGGGCCCAAACUCUGGGAUAUACAACAGCCCUGUGGGACCCAUGAAUGGAAACCCCAUUGGCUAUCAAAGCCAGGUGAUUCAGGGACCUAUAUCUGGGGCAGCAGCCACAAAAGCUGGAGCACCAGAUCCCUUUGGAAAUAUGGCAAAAGCUAUGGGUCCUCAAAAGUGAGUUACCAGUCACACAAGCAGAGUCAACGCAGUGAGAACUACAAGAAAGCCAAGGGCAAAAUGAAAGGACUUGAUUUUUGUUGGCUAUUGUUUAUGUCAGGAAGUAUGCUGGGCACUUUUUACGUUAAACACUCAACUGUUAUUAUGUCCAACCAUCUCAUUCAAUCUUUAAGCUCUGUUAAGUUCAUUUUACAUAAAAGUUAACUCAAAGGUUUAAGUGAUUUGGUGAAAGUCACACACAGAGCCUGAAAGAUAUAUGGGUAGGGUUUUGAGCCACUUCUCUACGCUGGGGAGGAAAAUUGCAGGGAAGCAGAGAUGAGGGAAAAGGAGGAGUGAGGCAGAGGAGGAAAAGAGGUGAGGGGGGCAUUCUGAGCUGCCACAGCUUGGCAAGGAACCUAUUCCCUGGUCUUCUGGCAUCUUCAGAAAGGCUGAAGCUGCUGUGCCUCCAAACUGUCUGUCUGGAAGAAAGUAUGUCUCCGUCAGCUCCCGCCUCCCACCAGUCAGGGAUGGCCCCGAGGAGUAUUAACUCUCUGGUACUUGUAGGUUGUUCAACUGAAGAUGUUAGGAAGUUGGGCAUGUGAUGGCUCGCUGUGCUGUGAAAGCCCUAAGGCAGAAGGCAAUAGGCUAGUGGUUUGGGCACUGAUAGAGCAAGCCCUCAAGGGACCUGAGGAAUUAGGAGAAAUUGCCUCUGCUCCUGAUGGCUCUGCAGGGCCCUCUGUUUGUAG